CCCAGGACGGUGUGACCCCAGAGUGACCCCAGAUGUGACCCCAGAGUGACCCCAGUGUGACCCCAGAGUGACUCCAGAGUGACCCCAGUGUGACCCCAGAUGUGACCCCAGUGUGACCCCAGAGUGACCCC